AUUACAGGAUACAAAUGCACAUUCAACACUCAAGUCAACCACUGAAUCUCACUGUUACUCUAUUUUCCUAAUGCAUCAUAGUUUCAAAAGGUAGAGAAAAAUCUCACAACUUGAGGGGAAAUUAUCUGAAGGUCCAAGAAAUGGAGUUACAGAGUUCCUUGUGAGGUCAUUGCCAACUUCAGGAUCCCUUGUACAGCAGUAUCUCCAUAGUAGAGCAAGGAGGAGAAUUAGAAAAGAAGCAAAACCCAAAACAGAUGUCUCCAGGAAUGUAAUACACUAAAGUUUACUUUUUUUUUUUUUUAAAGGACAAUUCCUGAGCUCAGAAUCUACUCACUCUUACUUCACAUAUUAUUACAGCACUUUUGAUUAUGUGAGGAGCAUACUUGGGCUCAAAUCCUGAAUCUACCAUUUACUAAUAGUAUCAUCUUGGGCAAUAUAUUCAUCUUCUCUGAGUCUACGUAUUUUUUAUCUGUAAAAUAGUUUACCUCACUGGAACGUUGCAGGAAUAAACCCAACUGACACAGUAUAUAUAAAGUCCUUAGCACGGUGCCUAGCAUAUAGUUAGUGCUCAAUAAAUGAUUUUUGUUAUGUAAAAAAAUUAUCUAAUAACAAUUUACUGUAAUAAUUAAAUAACAUGAGUUGUGUGAAGGCACCUACAUUAGUACCGUACAACAAAACAGAACUAUUAAAUGUUUGUUUCCCUCUCUUCUUAUCUAAUUGAACAGCCCAUAGACAAAUAGAAAUAACAGCUUAUAGAAGUUCAGAAGGAGAAUUAAUAUUACUAAAAGCAAAACAGUAGUUACAGAGAAAUGACAGCUUAAAGUCUUCAAAAAAUAAAAAGGCAAAGACGGAAAAUCCAACAUGCAGACACAGAAACUCACAAAGCACAGCAUUUUGGGGGCUACUCAUUAUAGAGAUAAGUAGCCUUCAUAGACCCUCAACUCAAGGAGCAUCUCAAGGAAUCAGAUAUCCAUAAUGAUAACUCUGAGCCAU